GGGUACCUGCGGAGGGAUCAUUACACAAAUAUGAAGGCGGGCUGGAACCUCUCGGGGUUACAGCCUUGCUGAAUUAUUCACCCUUGUCUUUUGCGUACUUCUUGUUUCCUUGGUGGGUUCGCCCACCACUAGGACAAACAUAAACCUUUUGUAAUUGCAAUCAGCGUCAGUAACAAAUUAAUAAUUACAACUUUCAACAACGGAUCUCUUGGUUCUGGCAUCGAUGAAGAACGCAGCGAAAUGCGAUAAGUAGUGUGAAUUGCAGAAUUCAGUGAAUCAUCGAAUCUUUGAACGCACAUUGCGCCCUUUGGUAUUCCAAAGGGCAUGCCUGUUCGAGCGUCAUUUGUACCCUCAAGCUUUGCUUGGUGUUGGGCGUCUUGUCUCUAGCUUUGCUGGAGACUCGCCUUAAAGUAAUUGGCAGCCGGCCUACUGGUUUCGGAGCGCAGCACAAGUCGCACUCUCUAUCAGCAAAGGUCUAGCAUCCAUUAAGCCUUUUUUCAACUUUGACCUCGGAUCAGUAGGUCCAGGUUUUCU
rnacentral:rRNA from 1 species